rnacentral:rRNA from 1 species
UACGGGGGGGGCAAGCGUUGUUCGGAAUUACUGGGCGUAAAGGGUGCGUAGGCGGUCGAGUAAGUCUGACGUGAAAUCCCCGGGCCUAACCCGGAAACUGCGUUGGAAACUACUUGGCUAGAGGAAUGGAGGGGAGACUGGAAUACUUGGUGUAGCAGUGAAAUGCGUAGAUAUCAAGUGGAACACCAGUGGCGAAGGCGAGUCUCUGGACAUUUCCUGACGCUGAGGCACGAAAGCCAGGGGAGCAAACGGG